UACGGAGGGAGCUAGCGUUGUUCGGAAUUACUGGGCGUAAAGCGCACGUAGGCGGCGAUUCAAGUCAGAGGUGAAAGCCCGGGGCUCAACCCCGGAACUGCCUUUGAAACUAGAUUGCUAGAAUCCUGGAGAGGUUAGUGGAAUUCCGAGUGUAGAGGUGAAAUUCGUAGAUAUUCGGAAGAACACCGGUGGCGAAGGCGGCGUUCUGGACUGCAACUGACACUGAGGAACGAAAGCCAGGGGAGCAAACGGG
rnacentral:rRNA from 1 species